rnacentral:rRNA from 1 species
UACGUAGGGGGCAAGCGUUGUCCGGAUUUAUUGGGCGUAAAGAGCGUGUAGGCGGUUCGGUAGGUCCGUUGUGAAAACUCGAGGCUCAACCUCGAGACGUCGGUUGAAACCAUCUGGCUAGAGUCCGGAAGAGGAGAGUGGAAUUCCCGGUGUAGCGGUGAAAUGCGCAGAUAUCGGGAAGAACACCCGUGGCGAAGGCGGCUCUCUGGGACGGUACUGACGCUGAGACGCGAAAGCGUGGGGAGCGAACAGG